UCCCUGGUGGUCUAGUGGUUAGGACUUGGCACUUUCACUGCUAUGGCCCAGGUUCAAUUCUUGGUCUGAGAA
rnacentral:tRNA from 1 species